ensembl:lncRNA
GUGGGCGCACAUCCCGCAGGGGCGGUUCUGGCGCCGGGCCGAGUCCGCGCCUCGGGCGGAGGCGGCGGGGCGGAGCGCUGCCCGGCGAAAGGUAGCUUAACUGUUACUGUGUAACAACAAACACCUGGAACGCAGGAGCUUCAAAGCCCUAAAUGGUCAGAGAGAAAAACAACAUACUCCCAAAUUCCAGUUCACUUACUUCUUGUGUGACCAAGGAAACACCUGGACAUCAAAUGGACUUGCAGGGAAACAGAGAUUGUGAAACCACCAAGGCCAUCACUUCAGUAUGAUGGCUAUGGACCCACUUCAAGAGUUCAUAAGAUCAUCAAAUAAACAGUACAGGAAAAAAAAAAAAAAAAAAAAAGGCUGUUUUUUCCCCCUUUACAAAAUGCUGCAUAAUCCCAAUAAGGAAGAAUAGCUGUGUUUAAUGGCCUUCUGGAUUUGUCUGUGUGAAAAAUGGUAUGGGUGCAGACUUGAUGCUGCUGAAACCUAUUCAGAUUCGCAAAAGAAACUCUAAAAUUGCUGUGCCAUGGUAACUGUAAUAGAAAUGUUUUUCACCUGCUCAGUGCUCCUACAAGAUAAGGCAUCUGAGAGUAAAAAAAGAAGUCACUUAGUAGUUGCUUGUUCCAGCUCUACUUUUGCAAACACACCUAAAUGUGAUGUUGCUCACUGCAUUGUCAGAGGUAUCAGCAGUCAACAUAGAAAGUGAUUUAAGUUUGCUUUAAUUGUCCAGAAGAAACAAACAGAGAAGAUACAGUGAGGGCUCAUCCCCUUCUGCUCUGUUUAUUCAUCUUAAAAUACUUCAAUAGUGAUAAACUCUUCUGUACACAAUCUUUCUGUUGCAAAGUAUUUUAUGUUGUCAAGUUUAUUCCAGGUGGAAAGAAGGUAUUAAGAAAUAAAACAAGCAGCUCCCAGAGGAUUUUUCUUUUGCUUUCCUUUCCUCUCGCUCCCUCUACCCCAGAUUACAAACCCACUUGACUAGUUUUAUCCUCUAGCUAUACCAUAGACCUGAUCCUUCACUGUCAUCUGUUUAGUCACUUACACAAUGGUUGUACAGAAUCUGCAGUCAGCAUGAGGUGCAGCAUAUGACCAUGAAGUUAAGAAUAAUGGUGUAGGAGAAGGUUAUUGCCAGUAGUCGUAACCUUGGGAGAGUGUGCAACAAACCUUGACCAACAGUUUUAAACCUCUGUUUUCUCCCUUGUUUCAAGAUUCUUAUGCCUUCCAAAGAAGCUUUGUCUAGGAUAGAUUCUCUUAGACUGAACUGAGGCUAGCACAAAACUAGGGAGUGAUUACGCUCAAGUAGUACCUCGUAGUUUCUUAUUUCAUAACAUCAUGGUUUAAAUUGGCAAUACUAGUUAGUGACAGCUGGUUUAAGCUGACAUAUUAGGGCAAAUCCACAAAUAUAUCAGUUUGUAGGAAAUAUUCCAGCACAUAACACUUCAGCCCUGAUCUUGAAAAAACUGGAAAUAAUGCCAUGGGAAUAUUAUCUUAAACUACUGCUCUGACACUUCUCUAUGGAAAAUGCUCUCACCUCCUUUUCUUUCUCUCUUCCAGAAGUUCCAGUGGUCAGGAUAAAAAUGGCUGUGGUAGGAGACAUGCUCUGAGUCUGGUAGAGGUAAUGCACACAGGUUAGCAUGCCACAGAUCAAGGAGCAGCCAUGUCCCGCCACAGUCCUUAAUGACUACACUUGUUGACUUCAGGAAGCUUUAGACACAUAUCAGACUGAAAAAGUGACGUACAGAUGACUCUGAAAUAGAUAUCACAACACAAAGAUAUCUUCUGAAGUGGAAUCACUGUUAAGCUACCCUUUUGGUAUUGCUUCAUAAGUAACAGUAAAACCUCUCAAGAAGUGAGAGCUAGGGAGGUACAUUUUUUAACAGAUAUUAUCUAGCAUCAGUAUGUCUGAAUUAUCAAAAUUAUUUGACGUGAUUACUGAUGUAUUUGUGAAAAUCUGUAAAACAGCAAAAAGUACAGCUAUAAAAGUGUAGCAAAGUCCCAGGCUGCAGCAAAUGAGGACAAGCCCCAGUGAAACAGCUCUAAAAACAAAGGGGGG